rnacentral:rRNA from 1 species
UACGUAGGGUGCGAGCGUUAAUCGGAAUUACUGGGCGUAAAGCGUGCGCAGGCGGUUCGUUGUGUCGGCGGUGAAAGCCCCGGGCUUAACCUGGGAAUGGCCGUCGAAACUGGCGAACUGGAGUGUGGCAGAGGGGGGUGGAAUUCCGCGUGUAGCAGUGAAAUGCGUAGAGAUGCGGAGGAACACCGAUGGCGAAGGCAGCCCCCUGGGUCAAGAUUGACGCUCAUGCACGAAAGCGUGGGGAGCAAACAGG